UCGCAGAAAUAUUUCUUUACUAUCGGUUUGGAUAACAACAACGUCAAUGAUGUCGGAGAUUUGGUUGCCGGAGCAAAUACUAUUUCCCGGGCAAAAAGCAGCAGCAGUUAAGGCGAAAAGAAGCGUAGAUGUAACAGCAAUAUCAUCAUUAGUCAUCAUCAAAGAAGUGGCGAAUGCGUCUAAGGCGUGAAGUACUACGUGUCCGCUUGACACUUUGACGCCCAGGAGCUUAAAUCCCCAUAUCUACAUAUGUACAUCCAUAUGCUUUUAGAUGCAGUACACUUUUCCAGCAGUAAAAGUAUGCCGUCAAAAAUUUUAACAGAAGAGUUCAGGUCAUUUUCUAUGCCGUGAUUGUUGCGUAUGUACAUUACGAUGGAUGUCUCGUUGACGGAAUCCCGAGGGCAUAACAUAAUUA